rnacentral:rRNA from 1 species
AGCGAACGCUGGCGGCAGGCCUAACACAUGCAAGUCGAACGAUCCUUCGGGAUAGUGGCGGACGGGUGAGUAACACGUGGGAACGUGCCCUUUGGUUCGGAACAACUCAGGGAAACUUGAGCUAAUACCGAAUGUGCCCUUCGGGGGAAAGAUUUAUCGCCAUUGGAGCGGCCCGCGUCUGAUUAGCUAGUUGGUGAGGUAAUGGCUCACCAAGGCGACGAUCAGUAGCUGGUCUGAGAGGAUGAUCAGCCACACUGGGACUGAGACACGGCCCAGACUCCUACGGGAGGCAGCAGUGGGGAAUCUUGCGCAAUGGGCGAAAGCCUGACGCAGCCAUGCCGCGUGAAUGAUGAAGGUCUUAGGAUUGUAAAAUUCUUUCACCGGGGACGAUAAUGACGGUACCCGGAGAAGAAGCUCCGGCUAACUUCGUGCCAGCAGCCGCCGUAAAAC